UGCUUCACUUGGCCAGUAUUCCCAAUCACCGGAACUGGUAUCAACCCAGCUAGGAGCUUUGGAGCUGCUGUGAUAUACAACAAAGACAAGGCAUGGGAUGACCAUUGGAUCUUCUGGGUCGGGCCUUUCAUUGGGGCCGCAAUUGCUGCUUUAUAUCACCAAUACGUCCUGAGAGCAGCUGCUGUUAAAGCCCUUGGGUCCUUCAGGAGCUCUUCCAACAUUUAAUUUUAUAAUAUAUGGUGACUGAAAUGCUUCCCCUCAAUUUAUUGGUAAUGCAAAGAUUUAAGUAGUCCAAAAGGGCUUGGGACUGGCGAAUAUGUAAAGUAUGCAGUCGUGGUCAAGAUGUCUGUAUUGGGUCCCGUUUGUACGCGUAUUGGGCACUUAUUUUGUUUGUGCUCAAACGUUUUCAUCUUGUCUUUCUUUUGAUUUCUCCCUAUCUCAUAAUCAACUAGUGCUGCAUCUUGCUUGUCUUAGCCAAUCUCUCUACGUUCUCUUUGUUACUACAUCUUGUAAAAUAAAAGGAAAAUAGAGACGAGUGGGAACCUAUCUUUAACACGAGUGAUUUCGGGAUAAAAAGAUAACAAGAGUGAUACGACA